UAGCCACUCAAGCCUCGCUUGGUGUUGGGGCUCGCAAUCUUGCGGCCUCUAAAAUCAGUGGCGGUGCCGGUAGGCUCUGAGCGUAGUACAUCUCCUCGCUAUAGAGUCCUGUCGGUCCCCUGCCAAAACCCCCAUAUUUUAUA
rnacentral:misc_RNA from 1 species